CCUACGGGAGGCAGCAGUUUCGAAUCGUUCACAAUGGGGGCAACCCUGAUGGCGCGACGCCGCGUGGGGGAUGAAGGUCUUCGGAUUGUAAACUCCUGUCAUUGGGGACUAAUGGCCAGGCUCAUACCCUGGUUUGAAUUAACCCAAAGAGGAAGCAGUGGCUAACUCUGUGCCAGCAGCCGCGGUAAUACAAAGACUGCAAGCGUUACUCGGAUUCACUGGGCGUAAAGGGAGCGCAGGCGGACUCGUGUGUCGGACGUGAAAUACCGGGGCUUAACCCCGGUGCUGCGUUCGAAACUACGAGUCUAGAGACUUGGAGGGGUAAGCGGAAUUCUUGGUGGAGCAGUGAAAUGCGUAGAUAUCAAGAGGAACACCAACGGCGAAGGCAGCUUACUGGACAAGAUCUGACGCUCAGGCUCGAAAGCGUGGGGAGCAAAAGGGAUUAGAUACCCCUGUAGUCCACGCUGUAAACGGUGCGCAUUAGGUCUUGGAGCUUUCGAACGCUCCAGGGCUCAAGCUAACGCAUUAAAUGCGCCGCCUGAGGACUACGGCCGCAAGGCUAAAACUCAAAGGAAUUGACGG
rnacentral:rRNA from 1 species